rnacentral:rRNA from 1 species
CAGUGCGGAGACUGCYGGGCGAACGGGUGAGUAACACGUGGGUAUCURCCCUCGAGUGGGGAAUAAGCUUCCGAAAGGGGGUCUAAUGCCGCAUAACAACGAUGGUUCAAAGCCCAAAGGCGCUCGAGGAGGAGCCUGCGUCCUAUCAGCUUGUUGGCAGGGUAAUGGCCUACCAAGGCUAUGACGGGUAGCCGGCCUGAGAGGGUGUCCGGCCACACUGGAACUGAGACACGGUCCAGACUCCUACGGGAGGCAGCAGUGGGGAAUUUUGCGCAAUGGGGGAAACCCUGACGCAGCGACGCCGCGUGGAGGAUGACGGCCUUCGGGUUGUAAACUCCUGUCAGAAGGGACGAAUCCCGCAAGGGACUGACGGUACCUUCAGAGGAAGCCCCGGCUAACUACGUGCCAGCAGCCGCGGUAAUACGUAGGGGGCAAGCGUUGCUCGGAAUUACUGGGCGUAAAGGGUGAGUAGGCGGUCGRGCAAGUCAAGGAUGAAAUCCCGAGGCUCAACUUCGGAAUUGUUCUUGAAACUGYUCGRCUUGAGGGUAGUUGAGGAGAGUGGAAUUCCCGGUGGAGCGGUGAAAUGCGUAGAUAUCGGAGGAACACCUGAGGCGAAGGCGGCUCUCUAAACUACUCCUGACGCUGAAUCACGAAAGCUAGGGGAGCAAACGGGAUUAGAUACCCCGGUAGUCCUAGCCGUAAACGAUGGGUGCUAGGUGUUGGGGGGUAAAGACCCUCGUGCCGAAGCCAACGCGAUAAGCAUCCCACCUGGGGAGUACGGCCGCAAGGUUGAAACUCAAAGGAAUUGGCGGGGGUCCGCACAAGCGGCGGAGCAUGUGGUUUAAUUCGAUGCUGCCCGAAGAACCUUACCAGGGUUUGACAUGUGGUAUAGGAACCUGAAAGGGGACGACACGUAAGGGAGGAGCGCACAGGUGUUGCAUGGCUGUCGUCAGCUCGUGCCGUGAGGUGUCGGCUUAAGUGCCGUAACGAGCGCAACCCUCAUCCCUAAUUGCUCCUGACAAGUAGCACAAUAGGGAGACCGCUGGCGAAGAGCCAGAGGAAGGGGAGGAUGACGUCAAGUCAGCAUGGCCUUUAUGCCCUGGGCUACACACAUGCUACAAUGCAGGGUACAACGGGAAGCGAAGCUGCGAGUGGAGCAAAUCCCCAAAAGCCCUGCUCAGUUCGGAUCGUACGCUGCAAUUCGCGUGCGUGAAGUCGGAGUCGCUAGUAACCGUGGAUCAGAAAGCCGCGGUGAAUACGUUCUCGGGCCUUGCACACACCGCCCGUCAAGCCACCCGAGUCGGGUUCACCAGAAGGCCGGUAACCGAAGAGGGCCGGACGACGGUGUGCCUGGUAAGGAGGGCUAAGUCGUAACAAGGUAGCUGUACCGGAAGGUGCGGCUGGAUCACCU